rnacentral:piRNA from 1 species
CAGUGGUGACUUCUGUAAGGUGCAGCC